GAUGAACGCUGGCGGCGUGCCUAAUACAUGCAAGUCGAGCGAACGGACGAGAAGCUUGCUUCUCUGAUGUUAGCGGCGCACGGGUGAGUAACACGUGGAUAACCUACCUAUAAGACUGGGAUAACUUCGUGAAACCGGCUCUAAUACCGGAUAAUAUUUUGAACCUCAUGGUUCAAAAGUUAAAGACGGUCUUUCUGUCACUUAUAGAUGGAUCCGCGCUGCAUUAGCUAGUUGGUAAGGUAACGGCUUACCAAGGCAACGCUGCAUAGCCGACGUGAGAGGGUGAUCGGCCACACUGGAACUGAGACACGGUCAAGACUCCUACGGGAGGCAGCAGUAGGGAAUCUUCCGCAAUGGGCGAGAGCCUGACGGAGCAACGCCGCGUGAGUGAUGAAGGUCUUCGGAUCGUAAAACUCUGUUAUUAGGGAAGAACAUAUGUGUAAGUAACUGUGCACAUCUUGACGGUACCUAAUCAGAAAGCCACGGCUAACUACGUG
rnacentral:rRNA from 1 species